CGGAGGAUCCAAGCGUUGUCCGGAUUUAUUGGGUUUAAAGGGUGCGUAGGCGGAUCUUUAAGUCAGUGGUGAAAGCCUACAGCUUAACUGUAGAACAGCCAUUGAAACUGAAGAUCUUGAAUUAGGUUAAAGUAGGCGGAAUGUAUCAUGUAGCGGUGAAAUGCUUAGAUAUGAUACAGAACACCGAUAGCGAAGGCAGCUUGCUGAACCUAUAUUGACGCUGAGGCACGAAAGCGUGGGGAGCAAACAGGAUUAGAUACCCUGGUAGUCCACGCCCUAAACGUUGAUUACUCGUUGUUGGCGAUAUACUGUCAGCGACCAAGCUAAAGCGUUAAGUAAUCCACCUGGGAAUACGACCGCAAGGUUG
rnacentral:rRNA from 1 species